AGAGUAGGCAGGAUAAUGGGUUCUGUUUCGGGAAUAUUCUGUGGAGGUGUCAACCUAUGAGAAAUCCAGGAAGCCGAGAAGAAGGAGUAUGCGUGGGACUGAGUGGGGAGCUUAGGCAAGAGGUCUGCUGUAGAUCUCAGCACGUACAUCACUGGCUGUCCGUGAGACAAAACUUGUGAGCGUGGAUGCCAGGAAUUAGGCACUUUGUGAAGGUCUCUGCGUCCUGGUCUGGAUCUUCUGCCAGCCAGCAUGCACACUGGGGAUGACACAACGUUCUAUAGGCCUGGAAGAAGGAAGUACAAGGAUUGUUCCAGGAAACAUUUUCUCCCUUUGGGCUGAUAUUUGGGAGACAUCUAUCAGUCUUCUGCACCUCAUAGUUUGUCGUUUGUCACUGACUCAUGUCAUUGAGAGUUCACCCUGAACGCGCUUUUGCCUUCACCAUCCUUAUUAGAUGCUCACUGCAGACACCAGGGAGACCUGAGCCUCUAAUUAGGUAUGCAGCAUGACAUUUAAUAGAGGAUGAGCUGUGGGACACUUUGGCAGUGAAGGUAAUUAUAGAUGCUAUGUGGUUGCAGAAUUUUUAAAUUAAUAAUAGAUUAAUUCUUCCAGAUUU